rnacentral:lncRNA from 1 species
GUAGGAUAGAUUUUAUCUGACUCAUUUAAAAUCGGGACAGGAUUGAGUAUUUAAAAUAAAACUCAUUCUAGGUUCAAGAUGGAGGUACUUAAUAGCAUACCUAUCUAGAACCCAGCUCAAGGUAUUUUUAAUUUUUUAAAAUAUUUAUUUUUCUUAGUUUAAGGUGUAAUUGAUUUUUCAAGAACAACACUUCUAUUUAUUCUUUGUAUUAUUGUUGAAUAUCUGGUUUGUAUGU